UUCAGCCGCAAUGGGAUUGAGAUAUGGCCCAUAUUCCUACGGGAAGCAGCAGUGAGGAAUUUUUCACAAUGGACGAAAGUCUGAUGGAGCAAUACCACGUGAACGAUGAAGGUCUUCUGAUUGUAAAGUUCUUUUAUUUAGGAAAAAAAGCGUGCUAGGAAAUGAGCGCGCCUUGAUGGUACUAAUUGAAUAAGUGACAGCUAACUAUGUGCCAGCAGCUGCGGUAAAACAUAGGUCACGAGCAUUAUCCGGAUUUAUUGGGCGUAAAGGAAGCGUAGGCGGGGAGGUUGAUCCAUUGUUAAAAGCAUUUGCUUAACAAAUGUGUGCAUUGGAGAUCGCCUCCCUAGAGUUAAUCAGGGGGUACUGGAAUUCAAUGUGUAGCGGUGGAAUGCGUAGAUAUAUUGAGGAACACCAGAGGCUAAGGCGAGUACCUAGGAUAUAACUGACGCUGAGGCUUGAAAGCGUGGGGAGCAAAUGGGAUUAGAUACCCCAGUAGUCCACGCCGUAAACGAUGAGCAUUGGGCAUUUGACAUCUGGUCGAGUGCUGUAGCUAACGCGUUAAAUGCUCCGCCUGGGUAGUAUAUAUGCAAAUAUGAAACUCAAAGAAAUUGACGGGGACCUGAACAAGUGGUGGAGCAUGUUGCUUAAUUCGAUAAUACACGAAAAACCUUACCAAGGCUUGUAAUCUAUUGCGAAGCUAUAGAAAUAUAGUGGAGGUUAUCAGUAAGACAGGUGGUGCAUGGCUGUCGUCAGCUCGUGUCUUGAGAUGUUUGGUUAAGUCCCGUAACGAGCGCAACCCUACUCUCUAGUUACUUAGUUCUAGAGUGACUGAAUCGUAAGAUAUAGGAAGGAUGGGGCCAAGUCAAGUCAUCAUGCCCCUUAUGCCCUGGGCUGCAAACGUGCUACAAUGGUAGGUACAAUGUGUUGCAAACUAGCGAUAGUGAGCCGAUCACCUAAAGCCUAUCUCAGUCCGGAUAAAAGGCUGCAAUUCGCCUAUUUGAAGUUGGAAUCACUAGUAAUCCUGUGUCAGCUAUAUCAGGGUGAAUACGUUCCCAGGUCUUGUACACACCGCCCGUCAAACUA
rnacentral:rRNA from 1 species